ensembl:snRNA U4 U4 spliceosomal RNA
AGCUUUGCACAGAAGCAGUAUUGUAGCCAGCAAGGAUUAUCUGAGGUGCAGUUAUUGCUAACUGAACAUUUUAAAGCCGUAUGCUUAGUUGUAUUAUGCAUAGAAGGGGCACUUGAGUAAUUUACAGUACUGCUGGUAGU